rnacentral:rRNA from 1 species
GGGCGAAGCCUGAUCCAGCCAUGCCGCGUGUGUGAAGAAGGUCUUCGGAUUGUAAAGCACUUUAAGCUGGGAGGAAGGGCAGUAAGCGAAUACCUUGCUGUUUUGACGUUACCAGCAGAAUAAGCACCGGCUAACUCUGUGCCAGCAGCCGCGGUAAUAA